rnacentral:rRNA from 1 species
UACAGAGGUCUCAAGCGUUGUUCGGAUUCAUUGGGCGUAAAGGGUGCGUAGGUGGCGGGGUAAGUCAGGUGUGAAAUUUCGGAGCUUAACUCCGAAACUGCAUUUGAUACUGCCUUGCUUGAGGACUGGAGAGGAGACUGGAAUUCACGGUGUAGCAGUGAAAUGCGUAGAGAUCGUGAGGAAGACCAGUGGCGAAGGCGGGGCUCUGGACAGUUCCUGACACUGAGGCACGAAGGCCAGGGGAGCAAACGGG